AUUGAACGCUGGCGGCAUGCCUUACACAUGCAAGUCGAACGGUAACAGGUCUUCGGAUGCUGACGAGUGGCGAACGGGUGAGUAAUACAUCGGAACGUGCCCGAUCGUGGGGGAUAACGGAGCGAAAGCUUUGCUAAUACCGCAUACGAUCUACGGAUGAAAGCAGGGGACCGCAAGGCCUUGCGCGGACGGAGCGGCCGAUGGCAGAUUAGGUAGUUGGUGGGAUAAAAGCUUACCAAGCCGACGAUCUGUAGCUGGUCUGAGAGGACGACCAGCCACACUGGGACUGAGACACGGCCCAGACUCCUACGGGAGGCAGCAGUGGGGAAUUUUGGACAAUGGGCGCAAGCCUGAUCCAGCCAUGCCGCGUGCAGGAUGAAGGCCUCGGUUGUAACUAGCUUUGUUACGGUAACGAAAGAACGUACUUUACUUAAUAAAGAAGGGUACCGACGUGACGGUACCGGUAACGUAAGUAAAGACGAACCGGCCGUAACUAACCGUAGUCCACGACACGACCGCGGUAAAC
rnacentral:rRNA from 1 species